AGAGUUUGAUUCUGGCUCAGGAUGAACGCUAGCGGCAGGCCUAAUACAUGCAAGUCGAGGGGCAGCAGGGGUAGCAAUACUCGCUGGCGACCGGCGCACGGGUGCGUAACACGUAUGCAACUUUCCUUCAACUGGAAGAUAGCCCGAAGAAAUUCGGAUUAAUAUUCCAUAGUUAUAUGAAAUGGGAUCAUUUUAUAUUUAAAGCUCAGGCGGUUGAAGAUGGGCAUGCGUUCGAUUAGCUAGUUGGUGAGGUAAUGGCUCACCAAGGCUACGAUCGAUAGGGGAUCUGAGAGGAUUAACCCCCACACUGGUACUGAGACACGGACCAGACUCCUACGGGAGGCAGCAGUAAGGAAUAUUGGACAAUGGAGGCAACUCUGAUCCAGCCAUGCCGCGUGAAGGAUGAAGGUCCUAUGGAUUGUAAACUUCUUUUGAACGGGAGAAAACCUUCGGUCGUGUACCGAAGCUGAUAGUACCGUUAGAAUAAGGGUCUAACUUCGUGCCAGCAGCCGCGGUAAUACGAAGGACCCGAGCGUUAUCCGGAUUUAUUGGGUUUAAAGGGUGCGUAGGCGGAAUGGUAAGUCAGUGGUGAAAUCUCGUGGCUUAACUGCAAAACUGCCAUUGAUACUGCCAAUCUUGAGUACAUUUGAUGUGGGCGGAAUGUGCCAUGUAGUGGUGAAAUACUUAGAUAUGGCACAGAGCACCGAUCGCGAAGGCAGCUCACAAAACUGUUACUGACGCUGAGGCACGAAAGCGUGGGGAUCAAACAGGAUUAGAUACCCUGGUAGUCCACGCCUUAAACUAUGAUUACUCGAUGUGUGCGAUACACAGUACGCGUCUAAGCGAAAGCGUUAAGUAAUCCACCUGAGGAGUACGGUCGCGAGAUUGAAACUCAAAGAAAUUGACGGGGGCCCGCACAAGCGGAGGAGCAUGUGGUUUAAUUCGAUGAUACGCGAGGAACCUUACCUGGGCUUGAAAGUUAGUGAAUGCUGUGGAAACAUGGCAGGCCGCAAGGACACGAAACUAGGUGCUGCAUGGCUGUCGUCAGCUCGUGCCGUGAGGUGUUGGGUUAAGUCCCGCAACGAGCGCAACCCCUAUCUUUAGUUGCCAGCGAGUAAUGUCGGGGACUCUAAAGAAACUGCCCGUGCAAACGGUGAGGAAGGUGGGGAUGACGUCAAGUCAGCACGGCCCUUACGUCCAGGGCUACACACGUGCUACAAUGGCGAGUACAAAGGGCAGCUACAUGGUGACAUGAUGCUAAUCUCUAAAACUCGUCUCAGUUCGGAUUGAAGUCUGCAAUUCGGCUUCAUGAAGCUGGAUUCGCUAGUAAUCGAAUAUCAGCAAUGAUUCGGUGAAUACGUUCCCGGGCCUUGUACACACCGCCCGUCAAACAAUGGAAGCUGAGGGUACUUAAAGUCGAUAACCGCAAGGAGUCGCCUAGGGUAAAAUCGGUAACUGGUGUUAAGUCGGAACAAGGUA
rnacentral:rRNA from 1 species